rnacentral:rRNA from 1 species
GACGAACGCUGGCGGCGUGCCUAAUACAUGCAAGUCGAGCGGAGUGUGAAAGGAAGCUUGCUUCCUUUCACACUUAGCGGCGGACGGGUGAGUAACACGUAGGCAACCUGCCCUCAAGCCUGGGAUAACCACCGGAAACGGUAGCUAAUACCGGAUAAUUUCUUUCCUCUCCUGAAGAGAGAAUGAAAGGCGGAGCAAUCUGCUACUUGGGGAUGGGCCUGCGGCGCAUUAGCUAGUUGGUGGGGUAACGGCUCACCAAGGCGACGAUGCGUAGCCGACCUGAGAGGGUGAACGGCCACACUGGGACUGAGACACGGCCCAG